GAUUAGCCCCGAUGGAAGCGGCAUCCUUUUUAUCUCGUCUUUUCGAGAUAAAAAGAUAUAGCGCACAGCGGGAGUAAUG
rnacentral:sRNA from 1 species